GAUAUAUUGGAAAUUAAGUCAUCAACAGUACCUUAAGCACCACUCUGUAGGUAAUUUUGGAUAGUGUCUUUUCUUUACAUUUUGAUAUAGGGAAGGAAUUAAUUCACAUCGACACAAACGAAGUAAUAGAUACCAUAUAACUUGUGUGAUACUGUAGCUUUUAUAAUGAAUUACUUCUUGAAAGUUUUUUUCCUAUACAAUGUAUUGUUAAACAAUUGUAACGAUAGUCUCUUUUUGUUUAACUAUAGAAAAUGGUAGAUAGUGUGGUACAGCAAACAAGAUUAACAAAUUUUCGUUGGAGAGAAAUUAUUUGGGCUCAGGCUUGCAAUAACAUUAUGAUGAUUUUAAGAAAAAUUGCAGUUCCUAUGAGUUAUAUAUUGAUACGGCAGAUUUUUAAACACUUAGUUGCUAAAAUUAGUUUUCCUAAAGUCGUAUUUGGGAAAGUCUGAGUAGAGAACCAGUAAGUCACUCUAAUCAUCCCAACAGAGAGCAAAUAUUUUAGUCUUAAAUUACCUCAAAAAAUCUGUAUGUUGUUUAUAAUAUGUAAAUGCCCAAUAUGUAAAGGAUAACAUAAGUUCUCGAAAUUGUCAUAAGUCCUUCCUAAAAACUGAACCUAAGUGUUUAGGUAUCUGUACUGUUAUAGAGAUCCUUGAAAAUAUGAAAUAAAGAUAAUCGAAAUUAAGAUGAAA
rnacentral:lncRNA from 1 species